GUUUCCAAUGCCUGUUGAGGAAGCUUGGCCCCUCACUCACUCAGGUGCAGCUUUCAAAGACAGCUAUGAGGGGGAAUUCUCUCAGUGUGCAGGGCUUCACGCACUACACUUGGUCAUCAAAUUCAUGUUGAAAGAGAUGCAGCCUCAGCCUCAGUUUGGAAUAUACACAGACGGGUAGGUGCUGAAGGGCACAGACAGAUCAUCAGAGGCCUAGUGGGAGAGAAAUUAGGAGAUCAUAGACAAGGAUAUCUGGAGUAGUGUUGUGUAGAUGACACUAUGGGAGAAGACACAAUGUGGGAAGAUCUUUCAGUUGCAGGUUAACACCUACCAGAAAUCAUCUAUUUUGGAAGAGGCACUAGACAGCCAAGUAGAUGGACUGACUCAGCCACUUGAUGCCAGCCAGUUUCUGUCAUUGGCCAUUCCAGUGCUGCUGAAAUGAACACAUGAAAAGAGUAGCUUUAGUGUCAGAGAUGUUAGGUUAUGCUCGGGCCCAACAGCAUGGGCUCCCAUUCAUCAAAGCUGGUCUAGCUCCAGGUGCUGCCGAACAGCAAACUUGCCAGUAACAAAGAUGACAUCUUCAUCCCCAAUAUUGCAUCAUUUCUUCAGGAGAUCAUCCCAUCACUAAGCGGCAAGUUCACCACAGUCUACUUCUUUCAUCUUGCCAGGGUCAGUGGUUCAUUUUUGACAGUAACAAAUUCUGAACAUGAAUUUGCUUUUUCUGUCCCCAUGGUUUCAGGCAACACUGUUAUCUGAAUGCUUGCAGAGUGUCAGAUCCAACAACAGCAAUUUCACUUAUAAUUAUGUCAGGCAGAGGGACAAACCUUAAAACCAAGCAGGUCCAUCAGUGGGUCCAUAAUGACAGGAUCUGCUGGUCAUAUCACAAGCCACACCACUCUAUUGCAUCAACCUGAUAGAGUGCUGAAACAGCCUGUUGAAACACAACGGAGGUGUAGGCCCAGACAUGCUUCCCUGUGAGAAUGAGACAGCACUCUCCAGGACAUAGCAUCUAUCCUGAAUCAAUGAGCAUUCGCGGGCUCUGGGUUCCCGAUAAACAGAAUACAUAGAUGAGAAACCAAAGUCUAGAAGCAAGAGUGGCCUCUGUUACCAACAUUCCCAGUGACCCACUGGAGAAUUUGUGCUUCUUGUUCCUGCAACUCUGGGGUCUGUGGGUUUAAAGAUCUUGGUUCCCAAAGGAAGAACAUUUCUGCCAUGAACACAUCAUCAUUUCCCUUGAAUCUAAGCUGUGGUAGCUUCCUGGACACAUUAAAUUUCUCAUGGCAAAGGACAAAAGGACAAGAAAAGCAGUCACCAUCCUAACAGAGGUAAUGGAUUCUGGCCCUCCUUUAUGCCCCACCUCAGGAGGAGGAGCUGCUGCUACAGGGAGGAAUAUGCUGGCAAUCUACCUUUGGAAAGUCCUUGACCAAUUGUUUCGGUAAAUGGACAAGUGUAGCGGCCCCAGCCUGAGGCAGGUAUAGUGCCCAGGGUUUCAUGCCAGUAGAUGACCCAUCCAGAAGAGCAGAGGUGAUGUCUGAGGGUGUCUGUGAACUCAAGAGAAGCCUUUCAUUCUAGACAUAGUAGUUAUUUUCUAAAUCAUCUUUAAACUUAUUUGCUGGAAUAUUGUGGGGGUAAAGUGCAAACUUCCCCUUCACCAUCUGAAGGUUUGCUAAAAAUCAACAGGCAGAAGGCGAAUUAACAGGAGAAAUGGCAUGCCAAUUUGUUUGAUCACAGUUUUACAUGAAGAAUGAAGACCCAAAGACACAUGAGAAAUUGUCCAUUUUUAUGCAACACCAGACCAGGCGAUGCUCUAAGACAGGUACAACAAAGUAUGGACAUGCGUGUAGAAAUACGAGUCAACUAAAGGGUGUGAUCUACUGCUAAUAGGCUGAGUGGGGACACCCAGACUCUUCCUGGCCCCUGUGAGCAGCUUCCUUUCCUUCUGGUGUGGGGCAGGAACUUCUCUGGAAUGGGGAUCUUCUGACCCACAGUCAAACAAGAAUUGGACAGAAGUCACAUCAGGGAGACCAGAGACUAGAGUAUUGCAUCAUAGAGGAAAGACACUGAUGACAAGACCUCAGGGGAGCAGUGGAACUGGAGGCCUGGGAGCUUGGGACGUGUUCUCCGGGUGAAGUUGGCUGGCCAGCUGAUGACCUACACCAGUGCCAUUCACUCCUCAUGUGUCCCCCGGGAAUUCAUAGUGUGUGUCAUCAGGUAAAAGCAACACUACUUUCAGAUGUUUUCUGAUCUCUUUGAGAUCUGGACAACACUACUGUGUACAUAUGGCCAGCAACAAAUUACACUCAAUGAAUAUUUUAGAGAGCAGCAAAGUAAUCAAUUAAAAUGUGGGUAAACAAAAAUCACUGUGAUCACAGCUCUGUCUACAUGGUUCUUUGGUAAAAAAUUAGAAUCCUGGGGAUUAGUCUGAGGAUAAAUAUUAUUUAAAAAGCAUUUUGGUUAAAUAGUAAUUAGUAAAUUUUGCUCU
rnacentral:lncRNA from 1 species